GGGCCCAACCUCCCACCCGUGUUGCCCGAACCUAUGUUGCCUCGGCGGGCCCCGCGCCCGCCGACGGCCCCCCUGAACGCUGUCUGAAGUUGCAGUCUGAGACCUAUAACGAAAUUAGUUAAAACUUUCAACAACGGAUCUCUUGGUUCCGGCAUCGAUGAAGAACGCAGCGAAAUGCGAUAACUAAUGUGAAUUGCAGAAUUCAGUGAAUCAUCGAGUCUUUGAACGCACAUUGCGCCCUCUGGUAUUCCGGAGGGCAUGCCUGUCCGAGCGUCAUUGCUGCCCUCAAGCCCGGCUUGUGUGUUGGGCCCCGUCCCCCCCGCCGGGGGGACGGGCCCGAAAGGCAGCGGCGGCACCGCGUCCGGUCCUCGAGCGUAUGGGGCUUCGUCACCCGCUCUAGUAGGCCCGGCCGGCGCCAGCCGACCCCCAACCUUUAAUUAUCUCAGGUUGACCUCGGAUCAGGUAGGGAUACCCGCUGAACUUAAGCAUAUCAAUAAGCGGAGGA
rnacentral:rRNA from 1 species